GUUUGAAUCGUGUUGGCUCUGCCCCUGAUCUGCCUCUUUGUCAGUCUCAGCCAAUCCUAUGGGGAAGCAUUGAGAUUGGUUCAGAAUAACACUUCUGAUGAUGUCAGCAGAUAGCUUGCUAUUCUGAGGCAGACGGUGGCAUAGCCAGCAGCAUCAGGCUUGAAUAUAAGUAAGAUUUUACUAUAUUUAGGAAAGCAAGAGAGAGCCAGGGGGCUAGAUGGUGGUUUUAACACUAUAGUAUCAGAAAUAUAUGUUUGUGUUCUUGACCCUGUAGUGAUCCUUUAAGGUAUUUAAACUGACCAGUGUUGGGAAAAUAAGCAUUAGCAAUAGUGUAC